GGCAUAGCCGGCCGGACUGGCAAAUAAAAUACCCCCAUCGGCUCCAUGCAUAAUGAUGACUGACCGCGGUCCAUGCAAAUCCAACUACAAAAUGUUUGCCUAUGACAGCUAUGAUCAACAAUGCAAAGAGUUUCAGUACAGUGGCUGCGGCGGCAAUCCAAAUCGCUUCAGUACCUAUGAAGAGUGUAUGAGUGCUUGUAAGCCCACAAUCAAGAGAAACCUGACAAGUGAAUUUGACUUGGAUGAAAUAGAAACUAUUGUUAUCUAAGGAACUGAAGAUUAUUAGGUAUUGAAUAAUCACGCCUGACGGAGCAGUAGGAAACAAAAGACAUGCAAAUGCUAACCCGUUUCUCAACCAAAAAUGCAAACUUGGAUGUCCGAUAGGCUAUUCAUACAUAUAAUAUGGUAAAUAGGCCGACAAAGAGAUGAACGAGUGGAACAGUCGGGUGAAGAGAAGAUG
rnacentral:misc_RNA from 1 species